GACGAACCGUGCGAACGUUGUUCGGAAUCACUGGGCUUAAAGGGCGCGUAGGCGGGCUGGUAAGUCAGGGGUGAAAGCCCACGGCCCAACCGUGGAAGUGCCUUUGAUACUGCCGGCCUCGAGGGGCUCAGAGGAGAGUGGAAUUCCGGGUGUAGUGGUGGAAUGCGUAGAUAUCCGGAGGAACACCAGUGGCGAAAGCGGCUCUCUGGGGGCAACCUGACGCUGAGGCGCGAAAGCGUGGGGAGCGAACCGG
rnacentral:rRNA from 1 species